CUUUGUCGGCAGGGAAUAAACCUUCUCAGGUACAUAGGAGACCGAGCGAGGACCGCGUACUGCUGGUCUCUGCCGGGACUGGCGGCACGUUGGCUUGUGUGACCAGUGAAACACAGAUGCAUGGGGCUCUCCGAGAGGAUCAGGGCAGGGUCCCCCGGAACCGUCUCUGCAACAGUUCCUAUAGCUCCCCGACAGCAGCGUGUGACUUUCACCGUAGACCCCCGGCGAUGAGAUGUGGGUUCAGCGCAUUGCGGCCUUGGAGCGCUAGGGGCUCUGGCUCCGGGUUCAAUCCCAGAGCCGGGAUGCCGCUGUCUGUUUGGAAUCUGUAGGUCCGCCCGUGUGUUUCCUCUCCCAGUCCACAAACAUCCUCCUAGAUGAGCUGGCUUCUGUGAAAACCGGCCCUGCUCGUCAAGGGAAAAUGCAUGGCCACAACCAGCUACAAAACUCCGUCGAGAAAAAGGACCAUGAAAGGCAUCAUGAUGACUUUCUACAAGCGCUUAUCCGGGUCACGGUCACGGGUGGCCAAGAGCCUGUCCAGGAAAGCUCAAGGCGGGGACACCAGUCCAUCACAGGGCGCACACAGAGACGGACACACACACACAGCAGAGCCGGAAAGAAGCCGGAGCGGCCGGAGGAAACCCAGGCGAUCAUGAACCGCAUGCAGACAGCGACAGCAGCUCGGGUCCGGAAUUGAACCCAAGGCCUAAAUGCGAGGCCGUACUGAUGAUCAUCGCGCCACCGCUCUGUCCCCCGAGCGUCACCAUCAAACAGGGCAAUAACUCGAAUACCGAAUUCAUGAGCUAACGAGUGCACGCAAGCAAAAUAAGACCUGAAUUUCAGACUGUGUCUCAGUUGUUGAAAAAAAAAAAUAGAAUGCCUGCUUA